rnacentral:rRNA from 1 species
AAGACCUUGCGCUUUUGGAGCGGCCGAUGCCUGAUUAGCUUGUUGGUAAGGUAAAAGCUUACCAAGGCUUCGAUCAGUAGCUGGUCUGAGAGGACGACCAGCCACACUGGGACUGAGACACGGCCCAGACUCCUACGGGAGGCAGCAGUGGGGAAUUUUGGACAAUGGGGGCAACCCUGAUCCAGCCAUGCCGCGUGAGUGAAGAAGGCCUUCGGGUUGUAAAGCUCUUUCAGCCGGAACGAAACGGUUACGGAUAACACCCGUGACUACUGACGGUACCGGAAGAAGAAGCACCGGCUAACUACGUGCCAGCAGCCGCGGUAAUACGUAGGGUGCGAGCGUUAAUCGGAAUUACUGGGCGUAAAGCGUGCGCAGGUGGUUUUGUAAGUCAGAUGUGAAAGCCCCGGACUCAACCUGGGAACU